GGGGGGCGUGGGGCUCCGUUGGUGGGGCUCAGCGCCCCUCCAAGACUAUUAAAAUGCUUUUUGAUUUCAUAACAAAAAUUACAUCAAUUCAGAAAAGGAAAGACAGAAACAGGGAACUUGCUGCUUGUAUUAGUAAAUGAUGCUAAUGUUGGCUUGUUGAAGCAUUAAAAUGCAUUUAGGUUAAUCAUGUACUUACUCAGGAACUUGAUCCCACCAAGCAUGUAUUAAGAGAUGACACUUUUGUAUCUGUUCUAUAUACAGUUUAAUAAAAAAAACCUAGCAAGUUAAAAUGAUAUUUUAAAGUAAAAUUAAUUAAAAUACAUAAAACUUGUUAGUACACUAAGCCACAGUACGAAGCCACACUUCAGCUGUUGUAAAACACUGAGGAAAAACACAUUUCUAUUUAUUUUAUUUUAUAAGUUUGAUCUAAAUAGCUUUUUCUCCUGUGUUUAUGACCUUAAAACAGCUGGAAAAAAUAUGGGUACUGUUACUAAGUUUAAACAGUAAUAUGUGUAGCAAAAAUGUUUUGCUUGAUAUUAUAAUAACAAUUUAGGCCACAAGAGGCUGACUAGCAAAUAAUUAUUCAACAGGAAAAAAUCACAUGGGAAAACCUUUUUUCACAUGUAGACCUUGUUUUUUUUAACUCUGUUACUGUAGGUCAUAAACACAGGAUAGACAAUUAUGUAUAUCAGACUUAGGAAGUCGAUCAUCAGAAACUUAUUUUCUUAAUUCGCUUUCAGGGCUUCCAUACUUGUAAUGAAAGAGGAGUCAAUUUUCCCUCUCCAGUUUUCUCUAGUUUAACCCAGAGCUCCUAGUCUGACUUGGUCAGUUUGACUGCCAGAAAUAUGCCCAGCCUAAAAUAAAUUCAUUUUUAAUAUAUUAGGCUUUAAGUUGGGAUCAGAUUUGUUUAGAUGUACCUUUUUUAUAAACUGCAAGUGUUGAAUUCCUGUUUCUCUAUAUACACGUUUGUCUGUCUCUCUCCAGGAAACUGCACUGCUUGUUGGGUCUUAUUCAGCCUUUUGUUCAUCCUGAUUGUCGCUGCUGUGCUUGCAGUAUGGUACCUUUACAAAUCUGGAAGGAUUCAAUGGAACAGAGACAUGCAGCCGCUCCCACCAAAUUCACCUCCACCUGAAGAGGAGCAAGUUUUAUAAGAAUCCAAUCAAUAAAGGAUCUUCCUGAAGUCCAUGGGAGUAGCAGGGUGUAGUGCAGAUGGACUCUCCUCGACUUGUUUCCCUCCUGACUCAGCUGUUAGGGAGCAGGUGCAGCUGUCCAGGUGCUUUGUAUUGUAAUGUCCUAUGAUAACAGCCUUUACAAUUAUAUUUGGUUUAUUUCUAAAUAAAUAGAUGAAGUUUUUCCCAAAAGAAGAAGUGACAUGGGAAAUAUAUGUAGUGAAAGUAUUUUUCAAGCUAAAAAGUGGAAGCUUCAAUUAAUGUUUACUGUCUAUGGCUGACUGAAAUGGAAAGUUUGCAUGACCGAUUAACGCAAGCAUCGUGCAUCAGUGUUAUCUGACAUCUGGCUUUAAUCUUGAGAGGCUGCACUAUCAGUAACGGCUGUAACUGCCACGAUACUUACCUUCUGGUUUUCUCCCACACAUAGCUUUCACAAUCUGCAGUGGCUCUCAGUUGAUAUGCAAAGGAUGAAGGCUCUCUACAGCCAGAGUUUGUUGCAUCUGUUCUGGGCCACUGUAGAGAAAUGACAGACUCAUAAGAGGCUCAUUCUAGGCAAACAAAAAACAGUUCUUAAUUUCAGGUUACACCAAUGAGAACUUGGAUACUAUAAUCAAUUUCUCCUAUUGGAUCCCCCUUAAUCCUUCACACUGCUCGUUUCACUGUUGCUCAAAGCAGAGGAUUAUAAAGAGUGUUUUCAACCACACAAGAAACAACCCAACAGGCCAAACUAAAUAUUGCUGAGAAAUUUCAAUACUAUUUCUUAAUUUAUUUAAAAUAUUUUACUAAGCUGGACUUGAUGUGUUGUUUUUGUGUUUACAAUGUUGCCAGAUAACAGACAGACCAAUCUUUCCUGACACACAGUCUAUUUAAUGAUGCGUUUUCCCUAUACCAAAUGCAUACAGUAUGUAAGAGAAUACCGUCAGUGUUGAGAUGUUACAGAAGAACGUGUUACAUUCUAAACCCCUGAUUCUAUUUGAACCAACCCCUAGCUUAAACAUUUUAUUUAUCUGCUCAAGAUCGAUUGGAUCAAUGCUCUGAAGCCGCUAUCACAUUAAACACAGCCUUAUCUGUGAGCUGCUGAACUUCUAAGCACCAUCACAUUUCAUGGAAUUUUUGACUACUACGAUUAUCUACUGAGUGCUAAAACAUUUGCUCUGCUUUGGAACUGUCGCUCUGACAAUGUUUUAGUUGUGUUUAAGUCAGCCAAGCUCUUUGUUAUCUUUGAAUAGGUGUAUAGCAUCCUCCAAUGUUAUGGGUAAACAAGCUUAAAA